CGCAAAUGGGUUAAUAUUCCCAUACUUGUUGUAACUACGAAGCAGGGACGGAGAAGGCGGUUGACUGCGAGCUGAUGGAAUAGCUCGUUAAAGAGAGGAUGUUAGGUUUGUAGUGAAGUACGCAGACUAUAGGAAUCUCGAAAGUACUAGAGUCCUUUUGGGGAUGAUAGAUAAUGUCAUUAGUCAUGCUUCCAAGAAAAGCUGCUAAGUGGUAGGUUACAACAACUCGUACCUUAAACCGACACAGGUGGUCGAGGAGAGUAUCCUAAGGUGCACGAGAGAAUCAUGGCUAAGGAACUAGGCAAAAUCGGCGCGUAACUUCGGGAGAAGCGCCGCCUCGUGCGAACGAGGCCGCAGUGAAAAGGCCCAGGCGACUGUUUAGCAAAAACACAGGACUCUGCGAAGCUGAAAGGCAAAGUAUAGGGUCUGACACCUGCCCGGUGCUGGAAGGUUAAGGAAGGGGGUUAGCAGUAAUGCGAAGCUCUUGACUGAAGCCCCAGUAAACGGCGGCCGUAACAAUAACGGUCCUAAGGUAGCGAAAUUCCUUGUCGGGUAAGUUCCGACCUGCACGAAUGGUGUAACGAUCUGGGCACUGUCUCAACCAUGAGCUCGGUGAAAUUGAAGUAUCGGUGAAGAUGCCGAUUACCCGCAACGGGACGAAAAGACCCCGUGCACCUUUACUAUAGCUUAACGUUGUCUUUGAGUAGUUGAUGUGUAGGAUAGGUGGGAGACUGAGAAGUUGUCACGCAAGUGGCGAUGGAGUCGUUGUUGAAAUACCACCCUUCAAUUGCUUAGAGACUAACCCAGAUGGGGACAUCGUUAGGUGGGUAGUUUGACUGGGGUGGUCGCCUCCCAAAGAGUAACGGAGGCUUCCAAAGGUUCCCUCAGCACGCUUGGUAACCGUGCAAAGAGCGUAUAAGUACAAGGGAGCUUGACUGUGAGACAAACAAGUCGAACAGGUACGAAAGUAGGGUUAAGUGAUCCGGUGUUUCUGAAUGGAAGGGACAUCGCUCAAAGGAUAAAAGGUACGCCGGGGAUAACAGGCUGAUCUCCCCCAAGAGCUCACAUCGACGGGGAGGUUUGGCACCUCGAUGUCGGCUCGUCACAUCCUGGGGCUGGAGAAGGUCCCAAGGGUUGGGCUGUUCGCCCAUUAAAGUGGCACGCGAGCUGGGUUCAGAACGUCGCAAGACAGUUCGGUCUCUAUCUGUUGUGGGCGCAGGAAUAUUGAGAAGAUUUGACUCUAGUACGAGAGGACCGAGUUGAACGUACCUCUAGUGUAUCUGUUGUACAGCUGUGUGCAUUGCAGAGUAGCUAUGUAUGGCAUGGAUAAGCGCUGAAAGCAUCUAAGCGCGAAGCCAACUUCAAGAUGAGUAUUCCAUGAAGGGACGUUAAAGAUGAUGACGUAGAUAGGUUGCAGGUGGAAGCGCAGUGAUGUGUUAGGGAGCCGAGCAAUACUAAUGACCCGAACGCUUUCGU
rnacentral:rRNA from 1 species